GUCCCUGAGGGAGGAGAAAUAAGGUCAUUGGUGGCUUUAAUGAAAGAAGCCCUUUUUUCCUUUUUUUGUCUGCCUCGGGCAAAAGAUCCUCUGUUGGCCCCUGCCUCCUCCUCCCGCUGAUACCAGUGACAGAGGAAACUGGAGACUCUAUGCCUCAGAGACUACAGGGAGAGGGAGGAUGGGCCCAAGGUGUAUUCCUCUCAUGAUACCCACCCCUUAACUCACCGUGCAUUGCCUGAGGGCCCUGGGCUCUCAGUCUGCAUUGAUUGGAGCUGGAACCGAAGCCCCCAUUCCAGAAACCGGACCAGGAGGUAGGCAAACAAGAAGAAGCCACCCAAUGUGAGAAAGAAAUAAGCAAUGGGGCUGAUGUCUGGCUUUACGCCCAGCAAAGCCAGCCCCAGUAGGAAGGAGGCGCAGCACAGGAGGAGAAGUGGCUUCUCCAGUCUCCCCAGUUCUUCAGUCUCAAAUCAAAUAAAUAAUCUGCAGAGUCCCCUCCAGCUCCACAAAUCUCUCUAGGUCUUGGUGUGUGUGGAAUAGCCAGGAAACCAGCCCAGGAGCCUUGACUUCCAGCCAUUCUGCACCUGAAGCAAAAAUGAAUUGUUAGCCACACGUGGUGGCUCAUGACAGUAGUCUCGGCUACUUGGGAGGCUGAGGCGAGAGGAUCUCUUAGUACAGGAGUUCGAGGCAAUGUAGUAAGACCCUGUUCUUAAAUUUUUUU